rnacentral:rRNA from 1 species
CAGUGCCAAGCUUGCAUGCCUGCAGGUCGACGAUUGUGCUCCCCCGCCAAUUCCUGUGAUCCACCAAGAUCCAGACAGAUUCCUGUGCUCCCCCGCCAAUUCCUUUAAGUUUCGUACUUGCGUACGUACUUCCCAGGCGGCAAACUUAACGGCUUCCCUGCGGCACUGCACUGGCCACAAGCCAAUGCAUCACCGAGUUUGCAUAGUUUACAGCUGGGACUACCCGGGUAUCUAAUCCGGUUUGCUCCCCCAGCUUUCAUCCCUCACCGUCGAGCGCGUUCUGGCGGACCGCCUUCGCCACUGGUGGUCUUCCGCGGAUCAGUGGAUUUUACCCCUACCCGCGGAGUACCGUCCGCCUCUCCCGCCUCCUAACCCUGCGGUAUCCCAUGCGGCCCAAUCGUUGAGCGAUUGGAUUUAACCUGGGACCAACAGGGCGGGCUACGGAUGCUUUAGGCCCAAUAAACGUCCCGACCACUCGGGGAGCUGGUAUUACCGCGGCGGCUGACACCAGGCUUUCCCUCCCCUUAUUCCUCAGAACAUUUACACCUGAGAAAAGCCGGCCUCAGCGAGCGGCGCUCGGAUUAACCUCGUCGCGCUUUCGCACAUUGCGAAGUUUUCGCGCCUGCUGCUCCCCGUCGGGCGGGGGCGGCGGGACGGGCGCCGGGCGCGGCGG